rnacentral:rRNA from 1 species
GAAAGCAGGGGAUCGUAAGACCUUGCGCUUUUGGAGUGGCCGAUGCCUGAUUAGCUAGUUGGUGGGGUAAAGGCCUACCAAGGCGACGAUCAGUAGUUGGUCUGAGAGGACGACCAGCCACACUGGGACUGAGACACGGCCCAGACUCCUACGGGAGGCAGCAGUGGGGAAUUUUGGACAAUGGGCGAAAGCCUGAUCCAGCAAUGCCGCGUGAGUGAAGAAGGCCUUCGGGUUGUAAAGCUCUUUCAGUCGAGAAGAAAAGAUUGUGAUGAAUAAUCACAGUUCAUGACGGUAUCGACAGAAGAAGCACCGGCUAACUACGUGCCAGCAGCCGCGGUAAUACGUAGGGUGCGAGCGUUAAUCGGAAUUACUGGGCGUAAAGGGUGCGCAGGCGGCUUUGUAAGUCAG